AACGAACGUUGGCGGCGUGGAUUAGGCAUGCAAGUCGUACGCGAAAGAGGGGGCAACCCCUUGAGUAAAGUGGCGAACGGGUGAGUAACGCGUAGGAAACCUGCCUUCGAGAUGGGGAUAACACUCCUAACGGGGUGCUAAUACCGAAUGACACUGCGGGAUCGCAUGGUUCUGCAGUCAAAGGUGGCCUCUGCUUGCAAGCUACCGCUCAAAGAUGGUCCUGCGUCCCAUAGCUAGUUGGCGGGUAAUGGCCCACCAAGGCGACGAUGGGUAGCCGAUCUGAGAGGAUGACCGGCCACACUGGGACUGAGAUACGGCCCAGACCUCCUACGGGAGGCAGCAGUCGAGAGGCUUCGGCAAGU
rnacentral:rRNA from 1 species